rnacentral:antisense_RNA from 1 species
CAUCCAGAUGCCUGGCCAGGAUCCUCGAUAAGACCGUGACCCCCAACUUGGACACCCCAUAAGGCUGGAGUGCAGUGGCACAAUCUUGGCUCACUGCAACCUCCGACUUCUGGGUUCAAGCAAUUCUCCUGCAUCAGCCUCCCAAGUAGCUGGGACUACAGAGACAGGGUUUCGCCAUGUUGGCCAGGCUGGUCCCCAACUCCUGACCUCAUGUGAUCCACCCGCCUCGGCUUCCCAAAGUGCUGGGAUUACAGGCGUGAGCCAUCGCACCUGGCCUGAGUUUGCAUUUCUAGGUUCCCAGAUGAUGUGACAGCUACUGGUUUCCAGCCACACCUUGAGAACACUUGGCUUUGACUACCACUUCUUAAACUUAAAGGAAAACUAGACAAUCCACCAGCCCAGGAGGGGACAAGCAGGAUUAAUCCUCCUCCUCGUCAUCUCUGGCUCCAGCCCCACCCUGGCCCUUGCUGGCAUUCUUCCUCUUCACGUGGCUGGGUUUGGCCACCCCAAUAGGGAAGCAGAGGGAGAAGUCGAUGUGCUUCUGGGAAUCCAGGCGGAUAGUGAAGAACAGGAUAUUUACCACCUGCUCACGGACACGGAUAUGACACUGUUGGAUCAGCACAUGAGCGUGGCAGAUGGACUUAGCCAAGC